rnacentral:rRNA from 1 species
ACAUGCAAGUCGAACGAACCUUCGGGUUAGUGGCGGACGGGUGAGUAACGCGUGAGAAUCUGCCCUCAGGAGGGGGAUAACGGUUGGAAACGACCGCUAAUACCCCAUAUGCCGCGAGGUGAAAUGAAUUUCGCCUGAGGAUGAGCUCGCGUCUGAUUAGCUAGUUGGUGGGGUAAAGGCCUACCAAGGCAUCGAUCAGUAGCUGGUCUGAGAGGAUGAUCAGCCACACUGGGACUGAGACACGGCCCAGACUCCUACGGGAGGCAGCAGUGGGGAAUUUUCCGCAAUGGGCGAAAGCCUGACGGAGCAACGCCGCGUGAGGGAUGAAGGCCUCUGGGCUGUAAACCUCUUUUAUCAAGGAAGAAGAUCUGACGGUACUUGAUGAAUAAGCCACGGCUAAUUCCG